rfam:Tupaia chinensis contig104769, whole genome shotgun sequence.
AGCUUUGCGCAGUGGCAGUAUCAUAGCCAAUGAGGUUUAUCCGAGGCGCGAUUAUUGCUAAUUGAAAAGUCAUGACAUUUUUUUUUUGAGAGGUUUUUGCUAAAGGGCACGUAUGUUUGCCAGAAAGACAG